rnacentral:rRNA from 1 species
UGCGUAACGCGUAUGCAACCUACCCAUAACAGGGGGAUAACACUGAGAAAUUGGUACUAAUACCCCAUAACAUCUCGAGUGGCAUCACUUGGGGUUGAAAGCUUCGGUGGUUAUGGAUGGGCAUGCGUUGUAUUAGCUAGUUGGAGAGGUAACGGCUCACCAAGGCGACGAUACAUAGGGGGACUGAGAGGUUAACCCCCCACAUUGGUACUGAGACACGGACCAAACUCCUACGGGAGGCAGCAGUGAGGAAUAUUGGUCAAUGGACGGAAGUCUGAACCAGCCAUGCCGCGUGCAGGAUGACGGCUCUAUGAGUUGUAGACUGCUUUUGUACGAGGGUAAACCCGAAUACGUGUAUUCGGCUGAAAGUAUCGUACGAAUAAGGAUCGGCUAACUCCGUGCCAGCAGCCGCGGUAAUACGGAGGAUCCAAGCGUUAUCC